AAGCAACGCGAAGAACCUUACCAGGUCUUGACAUCCCUGACAACCCGAGAGAUCGGGCGUUCCCCUUCGGGGGACAGGGUGACAGGUGGUGCAUGGUUGUCGUCAGCUCGUGUCGUGAGAUGUUGGGUUAAGUCCCGCAACGAGCGCAACCCUCGACCUUAGUUGCCAGCAUUCAGUUGGGCACUCUAAGGUGACUGCCGGCUAAAAGUCGGAGGAAGUGGGGAUGACGUCAAAUCAUCAUGCCCCUUAUGACCUGGGCUACACACGUGCUACAAUGGGCGGUACAAAGGGUCGCGAACCCGCGAGGGGGAGCCAAUCCCAAAAAGCCGCUCUCAGUUCGGAUUGCAGGCUGCAACUCGCCUGCAUGAAGCCGGAAUCGCUAGUAAUCGCGGAUCAGCAUGUCGCGGUGAAUACGUUCCCGGGUCUU
rnacentral:rRNA from 1 species